AAAGAAGCGAAACCUCGACACGCCAGCAGGGCGGCGCGGUACUCCUGCAGCCCCCCUCCGCCCCCCCACAGGUCCAGCAUGGCAGGGAACGGUCCCGGACCUGAGAGGACGGCAAAGAUGCCAUUCGCGCGUCAGGGGCGUCGGGUUUCAAUGUUUCGUCAAGGGGCUGCUGGGUUGCUGGAGACUGUCCCGGCUAAUGCUGGGCAAAGGCAGGACACACCCUGGAGAGAUCGUCAGCCUGUCGCAGGGCCCGUGGGGCUGGAAUGAUUGGACUCGCUAUGCCAGGCCCUGGCGGCGGAGCUCACCACGCCAGAAUGCUCGCUAUGCCCGCCCCCGGGCAUCUGGCUGCCUGCUGCGGCGUCGGGAGGCCGCCUGCUCGGGCCUUCCAAACCUUGUGAUAUUUUUCUUAUUUUUCUCUAGACUAUAAUAAAAAGAUCUUCCAGUUUGA